rnacentral:lncRNA from 1 species
GCGGCCCCCGAGUGUCGGGUGCGUCCAAUGACAAGUUUUGGGUCGAUUGGACGCGGCCCCCGAGUGUCGGGUGCGUCCAAUGACAAGUUUGGGUCGAUUGGACGCGGCCCCCGAGUGUCGGGUGCGUCCAAUGACAAGUUUUGGGUCGAUUGGAUGCGGCUCCCGAGUGUCGGGUGCGUCCAAUGACAAGUUUUGGGAUCGAUCUCUCAGUUCUGAGUGUGAUGAGAUCACAACAAGGUAAGUAAAAGGAAAAGACUCUGAAUAGAAGAGCAUAAAUAGUUUUAUUACGUACUGAUGGUACAAGAAGGUACUUAAAAAUACAGAAAAAAGAAAACGAAUAGAUGAGAAAUUAAAAAAUAAAAUCGAUUAAAAAAGCCUGGCGCGUUGGCGGCGCAGUUGCGUGGCGUUCCACGCCUUGCUUCUUGAGUCCCCGGCUCUGGAUUGGAGUCUGAGGGGGAGGUUUUCGAUUCUCAUAUCCCGCAGUCGAGUUGGUUGAAGAGCCAUGUCGAGGCGUGGAUGAGCUUGAGGUAUGCGUUUGAACUGACUCAUUCUUCGGA